GGGGCGCAUUUAUUAGAUAAAAGGCUGACGUGGGCUCUGCUCGCUGAUCCGAUGAUUCAUGAUAACUCGACGGAUCGCAUGGCCUUUGUGCCGGCGACGCAUCAUUCAAAUACAUGCCCUAUCAACUUUCGAUGGUAGGAUAGGGGCCUACCAUGGUGGUGACGGGUGACGGAGAAUUAGGGUUCGAUUCCGGAGAGGGAGCCUGAGAAACGGCUACCACAUCCAAGGAAGGCAGCAGG
rnacentral:ncRNA from 1 species